CGCAGUUCCAUGAUGUUCCUUUGUGAUUCAUUCAUCUUGGAAAAGGCCAGCCAUUUCUUGAAAGCUGAUGUUGAAAGGAGCAGGUGACCCUGUGGCAUCCCUUGCUCCAUCUUUCUCUAUCGGGCCAUACAGUGCAGACAGAAUGGAGGGGACUGCCGAAGGCCACACAGACGAUGAGGAAACUGAAGCGCCCAGGUAGGAGUGGCUGGGCCAGGACUCUCAUCUGAGGUUAAGUCCAUCCAGUUGGCUGCACUGCCUUCCUCCUGUCCGUCAGUCCUGGGCUGGUACCGAGGACCCAAAUAUGAAAAAGACAUCCCUCCUGGGGGCAGCAACACCUGGACCCCUCCCUACCCGGCAUGGUGAGGAAGUGGAUAGAGGAAUGUGUGGAGUGCAGUGGACAUGCAGCAGAGGACUGCUCACAGAUGAAGAGCU